AACGUAGGAGCCUAGCGUUAUCCGAAUUCACUGGGCGUAAAGCGCGUGCAGGCGGUUCGGUAAGUUGGAUGUGAAAUCUCCUGGCUCAACUGGGAGAGGACGUUCAAGACUGUCGGACUAGAGGACGGUAGAGGAAGGUAGAAUUCCCGGUGUAGUGGUGAAAUGCGUAGAUAUCGGGAGGAAUACCAGUGGCGAAGGCGGCCUUCUGGGCCGUUCCUGACGCUCAGACGCGAAAGCUAGGGGAGCAAACAGG
rnacentral:rRNA from 1 species